rnacentral:rRNA from 1 species
AAUCAACGCUGGCGGCGUGCCUAACACAUGCAAGUCGCACGAGAAAGGGAUUUCGGUCCUGAGUAAAGUGGCGCACGGGUGAGUAACACGUGACUAAUCUACCCUCGAGUGGGGAAUAACCUAGGGAAACCUGGGCUAAUACCGCAUAACACUUACGAGUCAAAGCAGCAAUGCGCUUGGGGAGGAGGUCGCGGCAGAUUAGUUAGUUGGCGGGGUAAUGGCCCACCAAGACGAUGAUCUGUAUCCGGCCUGAGAGGGCGCACGGACACACUGGAACUGAACACGGUCCAGACUCCUACGGGAGGCAGCAGUGGGGAAUUUUGCGCAAUGGGGGAAACCCUGACGCAGCAACGCCGCGUGGAGGAUGAAGUCUCUUGGGACGUAAACUCCUUUCGACAGGGACGAUAAUGACGGUACCUGUAGAAGAAGCCCCGGCUAACUUCGUGCCAG